GAGUUUGAUCCUGGCUCAGGAUGAACGCUGGCGGCGUGCUUAACACAUGCAAGUCGAACGAGGAAUUUUAAAUGAGACUUCGGUGGAUUUUAAAAUUCUUAGUGGCGGACGGGUGAGUAACGCGUGGGCAACCUGCCCUGUACAGGGGGGACAACAGCUGGAAACGGCUGCUAAUACCGCAUAAGACCACGGAGCCGCAUGGCUCAGUGGGAAAAACUCCGGUGGUACAGGAUGGGCCCGCGUUGGAUUAGGUAGUUGGUGAGGUAACGGCCCACCAAGCCGACGAUCCAUAGCCGACCUGAGAGGGUGACCGGCCACGUUGGGACUGAGACACGGCCCAAACUCCUACGGGAGGCAGCAGUGGGGAAUCUUCCGCAAUGGGCGAAAGCCUGACGGAGCAACGCCGCGUGAGUGAAGAAUUAUUUCGGUAUGUAAAGCUCUAUCAGCAGGGAAGAAAAUGACGGUACCUGACUAAGAAGCCCCGGCUAACUACGUGCCAGCCGCCGCGGUAAG
rnacentral:rRNA from 1 species